AUUGAACGCUGGCGGCAUGCUUUACACAUGCAAGUCGAACGGUAACAGGCCGCAAGGUGCUGACGAGUGGCGAACGGGUGAGUAAUGCAUCGGAACGUGCCCAGUCGUGGGGGAUAACGCAGCGAAAGCUGUGCUAAUACCGCAUACGAUCUAUGGAUGAAAGCGGGGGACCGUAAGGCCUCGCGCGAUUGGAGCGGCCGAUGUCAGAUUAGGUAGUUGGGGGGGUAAAGGCCUACCAAGCCGACGAUCUGUAGCUGGUCUGAGAGGACGACCAGCCACACUGGGCCUGAGACACGGACCAGACUCCUACGGGAGGCAGCAGUGGGGAAGUUUGGACAAUGGGCGCAAGCCUGAACCAGUAAUGCCGCGUGCAGGAAGAAGGCCUUCGGGUUGUAAACUGCUUUUGUACGGAACGAAACGGCCUGGGUUAAUACCCUGGGCUAAUGACGGUACCGUAAGAAUAAGCACCGGCUAACUACGUGCCAGCCGCCGCCGUAAAAC
rnacentral:rRNA from 1 species